CUAAGAAUAUUCCGCAAUGGACGAAAGUCUGACGGAGCGACGCCGCGUGGAUGAAGAAGGCCGAAGGGUUGUAAAAUCCUUUUGCUGAGGAAGAAUAAGUGUGGGAGGGAAUGCCCGCACGAUGACAUGACUCGGCGAAUAAGCCCCGGCCAACUACGUGCCAGCAGCCGCGGUAACACGUAGGGGGCGAGCGUUGUUCGGAAUUACUGGGCGUAAAGGGCGUGUAGGCGGUUAUGUAAGCCUGGCGUGAAAGCCCACAGCUUAA
rnacentral:rRNA from 1 species